UCACAGCUGGUGCUUGUUGGCUCAUCACACUCUCCUUUUUAAUCAGAUGACCUCAGCACACUGUGACAAACAACCACAGAACGAUGAAGACAUAUAUUGUUUGGGAGUUGAGCCGUGACAAUCCACGACCAAGUUCACACGGGUCGGAGACACUCGUCAACCAGAGACACACAGUAAAGCGUCAGUGUGUAUUUUAAAGGAAAGAAAGUGUCUUUAUCUUCAAUUCUGUAUUUUGUCACCUUCAAAAGUGAAGAGCAGUUUGAGACAAAGUGAUGGGUUUAUGUUUUAAAUGACCAGGACGCAAAGAGAAGUGCAGAAAAAAGCAGGACGCAAACAAAAGAGAAGACCACGAUGAUAGGAACAGCAGAAGAAGAUGGCUCCAUGAAUACAUCCUCUGAAAUGAGAAACAAGAUUAGAUCUUUACAUUUUUCAGCUGACAUAAAUAGAACAGGUGAAGCUGUUGCUGUGUCUCUUCUCCACAGUCACUCUGCUGCUGACAGUAUAGAGGUCAUCAGGACCUCUGACUGGCUCUGUAGGUCCAGCAGAGAGGAGGUUUCCCUCACCGUCCAGCCAGAACACCUCAGGUUCUGG